AUACGUAGGGAGCGAGCGUUGUCCGGAAUUACUGGGCGUAAAGAGCUCGUAGGUGGUUUGUCGCGUCGUCUGUGAAAUUCCGGGGCUUAACUCCGGGCGUGCAGGCGAUACGGGCAUAACUUGAGUACUGUAGGGGAGACUGGAAUUCCUGGUGUAGCGGUGAAAUGCGCAGAUAUCAGGAGGAACACCGGUGGCGAAGGCGGGUCUCUGGGCAGUAACUGACGCUGAGGAGCGAAAGCAUGGGUAGCGAACAGGAUUAGAUACCCUGGUAGUCCAUGCCGUAAACGGUGGGCGCUAGGUGUAGGGGUCUUCCACGACUUCUGUGCCGUAGCUAACGCAUUAAGCGCCCCGCCUGGGGAGUACGGCCGCAAGGCUAAAACUCAAAUGAAUUGGCGGGG
rnacentral:rRNA from 1 species